rnacentral:rRNA from 1 species
GCAACUCGCCUACAUGAAGUCGGAAUUGCUAGUGAUCGCGGAUCAGCAUGCCGCGGUGAGUACGUUCCCGGGCCUUGUACACACCGCCCGUCACACCAUGGGAGUCGGUAACACCCGAAGCCUGUAGUCUAACCGCAAGGAGGACGCAGUCGAAGGUGGGAUUGAUGACUGGGGUGAAGUCGUAACAAGGUAUC